UACGUAGGGGGCAAGCGUUGUCCGGAAUCAUUGGGCGUAAAGAGCGCGUAGGCGGUCCGAUAAGUCGGCUGUGAAAGUCAGGGGCUCAACCCUUGAAAGCCGGCCGAUACUGUCGGACUAGAGUUCGGAAGAGGCGAGUGGAAUUCCCGGUGUAGCGGUGAAAUGCGCAGAUAUCAGGAGGAACACCAAUGGCGAAGGCAGCACUCUGGGACGUGACUGACGCUGAGACGCGAAAGCGUGGGGAGCAAACAGG
rnacentral:rRNA from 1 species